UUCUGUUCUGUAUUUUUCAUCUGCUGGCUUGGGGUUACUGAAAUCAAACGGAAGAGAUCUAUUAAAUUGUCGAGGUUUUGACUUUGCUUAUUGUUUGAAGACCUUCACAAGAAGGCACUAAAAUGGGCAGAAGUAGAAGCCGAUGCCCAACAAAACGAGAGACGGCGCUCGGGUUCUAGGGACCGCGAACGAAAGCGCAGAGAAAGGGAACGCUCCCGUUCUCGAGACAGGGAAAGGAGAGAAAAGACCAGUGAGUCAACUCAACUGAAAGGAGACAGUGGACUCACACAGGGUCUCUUCGCAGGCUACGCUCUUCCUCUGGCUCCCCCUCCAGGCAGAAGGACAGGCGUGAUGAUGAUCAAAAGGAUUCCAAGGAUAAGCGGAUUAAGGAGCAUCAGAUCUCGGGUGGUUUAUCUGUUAUGAACUUGGAUGCGUUUCAAAUGGUGAAAAGUCUGCCAUUUGGGACGCACCCCUUAUAGGAAGAUAUGCAGGGCAAGACCAAAGAGGAGAUUGAGAUGAUGAAGAUUAUGGGCUUCGGCAACUUUGACACCACAAAAGGAAGGAAGACCGAUGGCGCAGUCAAUGCACAUGCUAUCAAUCUGUCUCAGAAGAGGAAAUACGGGCAGUACAUGAACAGAAAAGGUGUUCAACAGACCUCUGGACUUCAUUGCUUGAAGUAGGAUAAACAACAGACUCAUUGACUCAUUGAUGUUACACUAGCCUUGUGGUCUCUCUCUGUGACACUGUGUGCGUGUGUGACUCCAUGCACACACUGCAUAUAAGUUCUGCAAAUACUCAUGCGACUGAAUAAGUAAAUGUUUCUGUAAUAUCAUUUUUGUUAAUUUAUUUUAAGAAUGAGCCUUGUUAACAACAUGCCUGGGUUAAUAUGCUUUUCAGCAUGCAUUUUAAGGUGUUUUUGAUUCAGAUUAAGAACUUAAAUUCAGAUCAUGGCCCCUUCUCAUUUUUUGAUUCAUGUAAGCAAACAAAUUGUUGAAAUGUAGUGCUCUAAUCAAACCAAAAUGGAAUGUUAUUGGUCACAUACAAAUAUUUAGCAGACGUUAUUGUGGGUGUAGCGAAAUGCUU